GGAUCGAUGAGACUCCCUCAUAAUGCCCCUUAGAAAUCUGAACAAAAUGAGUGAGAACCAUCUACCAUCGUUCUCAUCGGAUCUGAGGUCU